rnacentral:rRNA from 1 species
GCAGUAUUCUAACUGUGCUAAGGUAGCAUAANNNUUAGUCUUUUAAUUGGAGACUGGUAUGAAUGGCUAAACGAGAAAUUGACUUUUUUUGUUAUAAAAAUCAAAUUUAAUUUUUUAGUGAAAAAGCUAAAAUUUUUCAGAAAGACGAGAAGACCCUAUAGAGUUUUAUAUUAAUUUUAUAUUUAUUUUUAGUAGAUUUUCAAAAAAUUAGUAUAAAAAAAUAUUUUGUUGGGGCGACAUUUAGAUAAAAAAAACUCUUUUUAAAAAAAAUUUUUGUAAAAAUAUUUUUUGAUCCUUUAAAAAAGAUCAAAAGAAAAAAUUACCUUAGGGAUAACAGCGUAAUCUUUUUUUAGAGUUCUAAUCGACAAAAAGGUUUGCGACCUCGAUGUUGGACUAAAAUUUAGGCAGGGUGCAGCAGUUCUGCUUUUAGGUCUGUUCGACCUAUA